CACGUAGGGCGCGAGCGUUGUCCGGAAUUAUUGGGCGUAAAGAGCGCGUAGGCGGUCCGGUAAGUCCGCUCUGAAAGUCCGGGGCUCAACCCCGGGAGGCGGGCGGAUACUGUCGGGCUAGAGUCCGGAAGAGGCGAGUGGAAUUCCUGGUGUAGCGGUGAAAUGCGUAGAUAUCAGGAGGAACACCUGUGGCGAAAGCGGCUCACUGGACCAUAACUGACGCUGAUGCACGAAAGCGUGGGGAGCGAACAGG
rnacentral:rRNA from 1 species